GGGGGCUGCUCCUAGUACGAGAGGACCGGAGUGGACGCAUCACUGGUGUUCGGGUUGUCAUGCCAAUGGCACUGCCCGGUAGCUAAAUGCGGAAGAGAUAAGUGCUGAAAGCAUCUAAGCACGAAACUUGCCCCGAGAUGAGUUCUCCCUGAGACUUAGAGUCUCCUGAAGGAACGUUGAAGACGACGACGUUGAUAGGCCGGGUGUGUAAGCGCAGCGAUGCGUUGAGCUAACCGGUACUAAUGAACCGUGAGGCUUAACCUU
rnacentral:rRNA from 2 species